GCGGGAGUUGCCCAGCCUGGCCAAAGGCGUAGGGCUUAGGACCCUAUCUCUUAGGAGUUCGUGGGUUCAAAUCCCACUUCCCGCA
rnacentral:tRNA from 1 species